GAUGAACGCUGGCGGCGUGCCUAAUACAUGCAAGUCGAGCGAACAGACGAGGAGCUUGCUCCUCUGACGUUAGCGGCGGACGGGUGAGUAACACGUGGAUAACCUACCUAUAAGACUGGGAUAACUUCGGGAAACCGGAGCUAAUACCGGAUAAUAUAUUGAACCGCAUGGUUCAAUAGUGAAAGACGGUUUUGCUGUCACUUAUAGAUGGAUCCGCGCCGCAUUAGCUAGUUGGUAAGGUAACGGCUUACCAAGGCAACGAUGCGUAGCCGACCUGAGAGGGUGAUCGGCCACACUGGAACUGAGACACGGUCCAGACUCCUACGGGAGGCAGCAGUAGGGAAUCUUCCGCAAUGGGCGAAAGCCUGACGGAGCAACGCCGCAUGAGUGAUGAAGGUCUUCGGAUCGUAAAACUCUGCUAUUAGGGAAGAACAAAUGUGUAAGUAACUAUGCACGUCUUGACGGUACCUAAUCAGAAAGCCACGGCUAACUACGUG
rnacentral:rRNA from 1 species